UACGUAGGGACCGAGCGUUGUCCGGAAUCAUUGGGCGUAAAGAGCGUGUAGGCGGCCUUUUAAGUCCUGCGUGAAAUCCUGCGGCUCAACCGCAGACGGUCGUGGGAAACUGGAAGGCUAGAGUGCGGGAGAGGGAGAGUGGAAUUCCCGGUGUAGCGGUGAAAUGCGCAGAUAUCAGGAGGAACACCGGUGGCGAAGGCGGAUCUCUGGGCCUUACCUGACGCUCAGGUGCGAAAGCUAGGGGAGCGAACAGG
rnacentral:rRNA from 1 species